AAAAGGUUGACGACUACUGCUCUAGGCAUGCACACACAAAGUUUGGGUAAAGUAUCCGCACACCAAGAAACCAUGCUGGUGAGGUGUUAGUCCACUUAUUGUUCAUAGUUGAGUAAUGCCAGUCAUUUGUAUUUAUACAAGAUAAAGAUUAAGGAACAGUGCUUGCAAAAAAAAGCCACCAAUGCCUUACCUUACCUUGCAUUUCAGAUAGCAGACGGACAGGGGCAGAG